rnacentral:rRNA from 1 species
UGGUCUGUAACUGACGCUGAGGCUAGAAAGCAUGGGUAGCGAACAGGAUUAGAUACCCUGGUAGUCCAUGCCGUAAACGAUGAGUGCUAGGUGUUGGAGGGUUUCCGCCCUUCGGUGCCGCAGCUAACGCAUUAAGCACUCCGCCUGGGGAGUACGACCGCAAGGUUGAAACUCAAAGGAAUUGACGGGGGCCCGCACAAGCGGUGGAGCAUGUGGUUUAAUUCGAUGCAACGCGAAGAACCUUACCAGGUCUUGACAUCUUCUGCCAAUCUUAGAGAUAAGACGUUCCCUUCGGGGACAGAAUGACAGGUGGUGCAUGGCUGUCGUCAGCUCGUGUCGUGAGAUGUUGGGUUAAGUCCCGCAACGAGCGCAACCCUUAUUGUUAGUUGCCAGCAUUUAGUUGGGCACUCUAGCAAGACUGCCGGUGACAAACCGGAGGAAGGUGGGGAUGACGUCAAGUCCUCAUGCUCCUUAUGACCUGGGCUACACACGUGCUACAAUGGACGGUACAACGAGUCGCGAAACCGCGAGGUCAAGCUAAUCUCUUAAAGCUGUUCUCAGUUCGGAUUGCAGGCUGCAACUCGCCUGCAUGAAGUCGGAAUCGCUAGUAGUCGUGGAUCAGCAUGCCACGGUGAAUACGUUCCCGGGCCUUGUACACACCGCCCGUCGCACCAUGAGAGUUUGUAACACCCAAAGCCGGUGGGGUAACCUUUUAGGAGCCAGCCGUCUAAGGUGGGACAGAUGAUUAGGGUGAAGUCGUAACAAGGUAGCCGUAGGAGAACCUGCGGCUGGAUCACCUCCUUUCUAA